CAAUAGCGUAUAUUAAAGUUGUUGCGGUUAAAAAGCUCGUAGUUGGAUUUCUGGUGGGAGCGAUCGGUCUGGCGCUUAGCGCGAGUACUUGCAUCGUCUCCGGCCAUCCUUGGGGAGAGUCUGUCUGGCAUUAAGUUGUCGGGCAGAGGAUCCUCAUCGUUUACUGUGAAAAAAUUAGAGUGUUCAAAGCAGGCUUAUGCCGUUGAAUAUGUUAGCAUGGAAUAAUAAGAUAGGACUUUGGUACUAUUUUGUUGGUUUGCGCACCAAAGUAAUGAUUAACAGGGACAGUUGGGGGUAUUCGUAUUCCGUUGUCAGAGGUGAAAUUCUUGGAUUUACGGAAGACGAACUACUGCGAAAGCAUUUACCAAGGAUGUUUUCAUUAA
rnacentral:rRNA from 1 species